GUCUUUAAAAUACAUUAUAGAGUGGGCCGAACGAGUUCAGAGUGGGAUAUUCCACGUGUGGGUUGCUCCUUCUGCCUGGGUCCCUGAGUGAGAAGAACUGCCCAUGGCCUCCAUAUACAUACUCUGUUCUAGGUGCUGAGGAUACGUCAGUUAAGAAGACAGUCAAAAUCCCUGCCCUCAUGAUGCUUAUAUUUUUGUGGUUUGGUCUGAAGACUGGACAGAUUGAGCAUAUUGAAAAGGGAGCUUUCUGCCUAAGCUGUCGGACAAAUUCAGUUCAAAGCCAUAGAUGUUGCUUUGUUCUUCCACUUUAAUUGAAAGAAUGAAGAAUAGCUGCCAGUGGUCCUACAAAUUUGAAGAUUUGAAGCCCAUUACAGUGUUGAAGAUGGUUUUCUUCCCGUUGCCAUCAUUUCAAGUUAGGGUGGAUUUGACUCCGAGAGGCUCAGAGCUGUACGUAAGUGGGACCACUCUUUUUCCUUCUCUGGACCCUGUGGAUGUAUUUCAUGAUCAAAUAGCCUUGCAAGAAGCUAUGGGCCUGCGCACCCGGGGUUGGUGGGGAUCCAAAUGGACCAAGGAGGACAGAAGGCCGGUGACCUGGUUUUUUAAAUCACAGCUCCCGGUCUUUUACCCUCUAGCUUUCUUCCCCAGGCUUAGGGUCCUCUCCGUGCUUCUCUCCACAGAUCUAAGCCCACUCCUUUCCCAGCAUCCUUUCCUGCGGCUUCUUGUAAAAUGCACACGGGGACACACUCACACGGCAUCUUGUGUGUAUCCCUUCAUGUUAACCCUUUACUGCCUGACUUGUUUUUUUCCCUAUUUACUUUCUUUACAUCGUUCCAGCAUUUACCCCUGCAACUCGAUAAAGUGCCUCUUGAUUCGCCCUUGUCUCUUUUUGCCUUGUCCCUGCGUCCUGGGUGCCGUCCCUUCUCCCCCAUGGGACUGGACUCCACCCGUAGGAAGGGUAUCUCUUCCUGCCUCUGGAUUUUUCCUUCUGCUCCCUGAACAGGAGGUGCUCGUCCUGAACACACCAUCGGAUGAUCCUUCAAGUCAGUGAAUUAUUUCUGAAAUUCUGAUUUAAGAUCUUGCUCUAAAUCUGGAUGGGAAUCCAGCAUUUGUCAAGAGCACAUUUUUGUUUUCUUUUUUUUUUUUUUGCAGGGGACGGGGUGGGUUAAAUGAGAGCUGCAGCUGCUGGCCUACACCACAGCCUCAGCAACAUGGGGUCCAAGCUGCAUCUGCAACCAGUGCCACAGUUUGCCACAACACUGCGACCAGGAUCAAACCCAAAUCCUCGCAGACACUCUUUUGGGUUCUUAACCUGCUGAGCCACAAUAGGAACUCUAAGAACAAAAUUUUCUUGCUUCUGACAUUAUUAGCUCAGGGGUGACAGGAGAAGUGAGAGAGAGAAAGAGAAACAAAACAAAACCCAUGAUUCUGGAGAUGAGCACAAUUUCUUGGGCCAAUUAACUGAGACAGUUCACAUGUUUAUUAUGUUUAAACUAUUGGGUGAUUAAUUUAGGGAGUUUUAUAGGCAGUUUAAUACUCUACUAGAAUCAGACAUAAGCCAGUUUAUAUAAAAGAAGAAACAACCCUGAGAUAGCUCUACCUCUGAUGAUGACUAUGACAAAUGAAAGAUGGGACAUUAAAGAAUUUUCCAUAAAUUAUAUAGUUCAAAAUGUGGUAAAAAUAGGGAGUUCCUGUUGUGGCUCAGUGGAAAUGGAUCUGACUAGGAACCAUGAGGUUGUGGGUUCGAUCCCUGGCCUUGUGCAGUGGGUUAAGGAUCUGGCGUUGCCGUGAGCUGUGGAGGUUGCAGACCCGGCUCAGAUCCCGAGUUGCUGUGGCUGGGGCAUAGGCCGGCGGCUACAGCUCCAAUUCAACCCUUAGCCUGGGAACCUCCAUAUGCUGUGGGUAUGGCCCUAGAAAAGACAAAAAAAAAAAAAAAAAGUUUCAUUGUUCACUCCCUUUUUAUCAGCAUAAUUGAUCAAGAAUUACCUGAGAUUAAAUACCAAGAGUAGUUAUUGGGUGCCUGGGAUUAGGUAUGGCAGGAGGGGCAAUGUGAGGUCAGUUCAAGGCCACAGAAGACUUCAUGUUACUUGAAGUGGGUGGAGGUGGCUGUCUGGGUCAGCUCCCAGUCCUCUCUCUCUCCGGCCCGAAAUGUUCGUUCUGUUCCACGCCUUUUCCUCUGACACGUAGCGGGUUCGUCUUUCUGACCUUGUUUUCCCUAUUCUCUGCUUUUCCCCUUUGGCCUUUUCAGGAUGGCUACAUGUUCCCUACUGUACCUACUCACACAUUAAGCUCUUCUUCCUCCGCCCUCCUCUUUUUGGCCACCCCCUCGAAUGUGGAAGUUCCCAAGCCCAGGGAUCACACCUGCACCGCAGCAGCCACCUGAGCCGCUGCGUUGAAAACACCAGAUCCUUAACCCACUGUGCCACAAGGGAACUCCCCUCCUCCCUUACCUCAGUCCUCUCUUUUGGUCCCUGGAUGCAUGUGUAUGAUGCUAAAAACACCUUCUGGCAUGGUCAACCCGGUCGGUCGUGUAAUUGGUGAUUUUAGUCUGGGGAAGUGCUCUGAUUCAAGUAGCCCCACACAGAUGUACCAUCAGCUUGCUCUGUCUGUAUGCCUUUGCCUCUCUUAUUCUGUCUCUGUCAUCUUUAAUGUAUGCAACACAUAUCCAUUAGGUAUUUACUGUGUGCCAGGAAUUAUAUUCGGUUCAAGAGUGACAUAAUAUUGCUGUUUCUCUCUAAUUACCAGAUAUGUUAAAAGCCUAAGGAAGGAAAUUAUCCUAAGAAAACAGCUCUCAGAGGAAGUUGAUUUUUUUCCUUCUUAUCUCUGGAGGUUUUAUAAUUUGGGGGGAAGGUGGUGGUGAGAAGGCCAGUAUCGCUGGUCAGAGACUUCUUCUUCACCUUAGCUCCUGCCCUAGAGAGUAGGGGUGGAGCUGGGGUUGCCUGGCAUUCACAGUUCCCCCCAAACCUUCUCAUCCAUAUUUUCUUGCCCAAGUCUCCCCACCCCCACCUACCAAGAGGGAAUCUGUCACUGUAAUUAAGCAGUCUGUAAUCAACGAAGUCCCAUUAAGAAAUAAUGAGGCCAGUAAUGCAGUGGGUGCCAUUGAUGGGGGAUUAGUGAAACUUAUGUGGUUUCCUACAACUCCCCCGCUCUCUGAGGAAGUGGGGGUGGAGAAACUGUUGACUCAGCACUCUUAGCAUGAAUCCCUGUGCUCUCUCUAACACUCCCAAAUGAAGCUCCUUGCUGAAAUUGGAUGUGGAAGAAGGAGCCUGGAUCCACUGUGCCUGUGAGAGCCUGGCUAGCUGGGUCACAUCACAGUCCCCUCUGCAUCCCCAGUGCUUUUCAAUAAGCAUUCUGUGAGCACUAGGAGAGGGUGGGCUCAUAGCACAGAGGGAGCAUAGGACCCAAGUGUCCUGUCUUCUUGCUCAAGACUUUCCCAAAUGGACUGUGGCUCCAGUGGCAUUUGGGUCAAUAUGAUUGACUGGAGGAGCUCUUGGUAAUAAGAGCCAUAGGCUCUUUGGAGUUCCCAUUGUGGCUCAGCAGAAACGAAUCUAACUAGCAUCCAUGAGGACGUCGGUUCGAUCCCUGGCCUCGCUCCCUAGAUUAAGGAUCCGGCAUUGCUGUGAGCUGUGGUGUAGGUUGCAGACGCAGCUUGGAUCCCAUGUUGCUGUGGCUGUGGUGUAGGCCAUCAGCUACAGCUCCGAUUCAACCCCUAGCCUGGGAACCUCCAUGUGCUGUGGGUGCCGCCCUAAACAUACAAAAAAAAAAAAAAAAAAAACCUCUAGCCUCUUUUCAUACUCCUCCCAUGCUGAAUCCUACUUUUAUUGUAUGUUUUAUUGUCAUGCAUAUAUAUGACAGCAUAAGUUCUUGGAGCACAGUGACCAUUCCUCAUAGUUUUAGGUUGCACAGAGUGUAAGCAAUGCACUCCCUUGUCCCAGUAAAGCUCAUAUGCUUAUCUCGCAGCAGCAAGGAUUGUGGCUAGACAUAUGGAAAAAGUGCUGUGCCAGAAAGUCCAUGGAGAGAUCCCCAGAAUAUCCCUUUCUAUUAAUUUCACUGAGUCCAGUGAAACAGCAAAAGCUGCAUGGAAGACUAUUCAAUCUAGAGGUUCAUGAAAUGCUUUAUGUGAUCUGUGUCAAGGGAGCUUGUGCCGUGUUAAGUAAACUGUAGUUCAUCCACUUUCCUAAAGUGAAUUCCGUGGAGUCUAAAGAGACUUCGGUGUGGAAACAGGAGAAUGACCUCUUAAAGGGCCUUUCAGCCCAAGGCUCCUGGAUGUGCAACCUGAGCAUCUCUUGAGCUUGUAUUUUGUGUUGUUUUUCUUUUCAUUUUACAGCCA
rnacentral:lncRNA from 9 species